rnacentral:rRNA from 1 species
GACGAACGCUGGCGGCGUGCUUAACACAUGCAAGUCGAACGGAAAGGCCCUGCUUGCAGGGUACUCGAGUGGCGAACGGGUGAGUAACACGUGGGUGAUCUGCCCUGCACUUCGGGAUAAGCCUGGGAAACUGGGUCUAAUACCGGAUAGGAGCCAUUUUUAGUGUGAUGGUUGGAAAGUUUUUUCGGUGUAGGAUGAGCUCGCGGCCUAUCAGCUUGUUGGUGGGGUAAUGGCCUACCAAGGCGGCGACGGGUAGCCGGCCUGAGAGGGUGGACGGGCACAUUGGGACUGAGAUACGGCCCAGACUCCUACGGGAGGCAGCAGUGGGGAAUAUUGCACAAUGGGCGCAAGCCUGAUGCAGCGACGCCGCGGGGGGGAUGACGGCCUUCGGGUUGUAAACUCCUUUCGCUAGGGACGAAGCUUUUUGUGACGGUACCUAGAUAAGAAGCACCGGCUAACUACGUG